AGUGAACGCUGGCGGCAGGCCUAACACAUGCAAGUCGAACGGCAGCACAGGAGAGCUUGCUCUCUGGGUGGCGAGUGGCGGACGGGUGAGGAAUAUAUCGGAAUCUACCCUUUCGUGGGGGAUAACGUAGGGAAACUUACGCUAAUACCGCAUACGAACUGAGGUCGAAAGCGGCGGACCGCAAGGCGUCGCGCGGAUGGAUGAGCCGAUAUCCGAUUAGCUAGUUGGCGGGGUAAAGGCCCACCAAGGCGACGAUCGGUAGCUGGUCUGAGAGGAUGAUCAGCCACACUGGAACUGAGACACGGUCCAGACUCCUACGGGAGGCAGCAGUGGGGAAUAUUGGACAAUGGGCGCAAGCCUGAUCCAGCCAUGCCGCGUGUGUGAAGAAGGCCUUCGGGUUGUAAAGCACUUUUGUUGGAAAGAAAAGCGGUCGGUUAAUACCCGGUCGUUCUGACGGUACCCAAAGAAUAAGCACCGGCUAACUUCGUGCCAGCAGCCGCGGUAAUAC
rnacentral:rRNA from 1 species